UUCAGAGGCGGCAAGCGUUGUUCGGAAUCACUGGGCAUAAAGGGCGCGUAGGUGGUCAGGUAGGUUGGGGGUGAAAUCCCCGGGCUCAACCCGGGACACGCCUCCAAAACCGCCUGGCUGGAGCGGAACAGGGGAGAGUGGAACUCGUGGUGGAGCGGUGAAAUGCGUAGAUAUCACGAGGAACGCCGGCGGUGAAGACGACUCUCUGGGUUCCUGCUGACACUGAGGCGCGAAAGCUGGGGGAGCAAACGGG
rnacentral:rRNA from 1 species